AUUGAACGCUUGCGGCAGGCCUAACACAUGCAAGUCGAACGAGUGGCGGACGGGUGAGUAAUGCUUGGGAAUCUAGCUUAUGGAGGGGGAUAACUACGGGAAACUGUAGCUAAUAACGCGUACCAUAGGAUGAGCCCAAGUGGGAUUAGGUAGUUGGUGAGGUAAAGGCGCACCAAGCCGACGAUCCCUAGCUGGUCUGAGAGGAUGACCAGCACUACUUGGACUUAGACACGGCCCAGAUUCCUACGGGAGGCAGCAGUGGGGAAGAUUGCGAAAUGGGGGCAACCUGACGCAGCCAUGCCGAGUGAAUGAAGAAGGCCUUCGGGUUGUAAAGUUCUGUCUGUAGCGAGGCGUUAACUACAGAAGAAGCACCGGCUAACUCCGUGCCAGCCGCCGCGAUAAUAC
rnacentral:rRNA from 1 species